rnacentral:piRNA from 1 species
UCCCACAUGUGAUUUGAGAGUGACCCUGGA